GCUUGGACACAAAAUCUGGAGAUAUAUUAGUGGAAAAUGGUCCUAUAAGAGAUCUAAAGGCUUAAUUAGUGAUUUUGCAGCUAAAAAUACAAGGAGGAUAAUUUUUCGAUGAUACUUUUUGAUGCUAAAGGCUUCGAUAUCUGAUGAAGGUGACCGAAGAGAUGAAGAAUGGGCAAUAGCACUUGAAAAGUAUGUUAAAGAUUAUUCAGAUGCAAAAAAAUCAGGGCCCCUAAAAUCUCAGAACCGGCCCUGGAGGGGA